rnacentral:misc_RNA from 1 species
GGUAACUGCUUCAUGAAAAUUCGUCAAUUGUGAAGAUGGCUACAUUAUCAGUCUUUAGUAAUGUGGAUGAUCAGAGGGAAGGAAUGUUGUAAUAUCCUGAACUUCAUUACUUUUGUGGAGAAAAGUGUGCGGGGUUAACAAUUCUGUGAUUUGGUGGUGGGGAAAGUAAAAUUUGAACUAUGCUAACCAUAUAUGCUCAAAAGGUAUAAUUGUAGUUUAGUUUGUUAAUAUUGUGCUACCAAUGGUGUUUGAAAAUGAAGUUUCUACAAAAUAAUAAUGCGAGUUUGAGCA